GACGAACGCUGGCGGCGUGCUUAACACAUGCAAGUCGAACGGAAAGGCCCUGCUUUUGUGUGGUGCUCGAGUGGCGAACGGGAGAGUAACAUGUGAGUAUCCUGGCCUUUGCUUGGGGAUAACUUGAGGAAACUGGGGCUAACACCGGAUAGGAGCUCCUGCUGCAUGGUGGUGUUUGGAAAGUUUCGGCGGAUGGGGAUGGACGCGGGGCUUAUCAGCUUGUGGGUGGGGGAGUCGCUUACGAAGGCUUUGAUGGGUAGCCGGCAUGAGAGGGUGAACGGCCACAUUGCGACUGCGAGACGGCCCAGUCUCCUACAGUAGGCAGCAGUGGGAAAUCUGGUCCAGUCAGCGGACGCGUGAUGCAGCAGCGCCCCGUGCGGAAUGAAGGCCUUCGGGUUGGAAACCGCUUUAGCCUGAGACGAAGCGGGAGUGACGUUAAUGGGUAAAGAAGCACCGGCUAACUACGUG
rnacentral:rRNA from 1 species